GAUGAACGCUGGCGGCGUGCCUAAUACAUGCAAGUCGAGCGAACAGAUGAGGAGCUUGCUCCUCUGACGUUAGCGGCGGACGGGUGAGUAACACGUGGAUAACCUACCUAUAAGACUGGGAUAACUUCGGGAAACCGGAGCUAAUACCGGAUAAUAUAUUGAACCGCAUGGUUCAAUAGUGAAAGACGGUUUUGCUGUCACUUAUAGAUGGAUCCGCGCCGCAUUAGCUAGUUGGUAAGGUAACGGCUUACCAAGGCGACGAUGCGUAGCCGACCUGAGAGGGUGAUCGGCCACACUGGAACUGAGACACGGUCCAGACUCCUACGGGAGGCAGCAGUAGGGAAUCUUCCGCAAUGGGCGAAAGCUUGACGGGGCAACGCCGCGUGAGUGAUGAAGGUCUUCGGAUCGUAAAACUCUGUUAUUAGGGAAGAACAAAUGUGUAAGUAACUAUGCACGUCUUGACGGUACCUAAUCAGAAAGCCACGGCUAACUACGUG
rnacentral:rRNA from 1 species